UACGGGGGGGGCAAGCGUUGUUCGGAAUUACUGGGCGUAAAGGGCUCGUAGGCGGCCAACUAAGUCGGAUGUGAAAUCCCCAGGCUCAACCUGGGAACUGCAUCCGAUACUGGAUGGCUUGAAUUCGGGAGAGGGAUGCAGAAUUCCAGGUGUAGCGGUGAAAUGCAUAGAUAUCUGGAGGAAUACCGGUGGCGAAGGCGGCAUCCUGGACCGACAUUGACGCUGAGGAGCGAAAGCCAGGGGAGCAAACGGG
rnacentral:rRNA from 1 species